AAGUCCCACAAACACACUCUCUGAAGACUACUUCCCUCUACCUUACAUUGUUUUCUUCUCUCUCUCUUUCUCUCACUAGAAAUUCUUCCGGUUUUCUUUUUUUUCUCCUUUUGGCUUGAGUUUUGGUUUCUCUCCGGCUAGGGUUUUCUCUCUUGCAUUUAUCUCCGAUUUUUAAAUUUAUCUUCAUACCUCGACGGAUCGCUAAUUCGCAAGUCGCUGGUUCUCAUUCAUAAAAGAUUACUUCUAGUAAAUACUUAUUGUUCACAAGUGGAUUUAAAUCUGAGUUCAUAAGGACAUUAAAAAGUCGAGCAAUUUGUUGCAUGGUUGCUGUUUCUGAGGAAUCUAUCACGGUACUCGAUAGAGUAUUUUUUCUUGUGUGUCCAUGCUGGCCAAGAGCAUGAGUGGAACCUGUGCUUUGGGUAAUGCGUGUGACAGGAUUUAUCAGUGAUGCACUUGGUGUGGUGACGAUUUGUCUCGUUUCGGGCUUAUUCCUUUUGGGUUUGUUUUGUAUUAUAUAUUCAUUUUACUUCCGAAGUAGGGUCCGCGGGCACGGUCUUGUUCAGUACAGUUAUUUCAGCGGUCCUUUGAUUAUCAGAAUCACAUACAUCUUCUUGGCCGUAUGGUGGGGUGUCGGUGAAAUUAUCCGUCUGAAUCUAUUGAGAUGCAAAGGCAGAUUCUUGGAUACACUCACUUUGCAAUGGCAGGAAAAUAUCUGCAAAUGCUACAUCAUUUCAAACCUGGGAUUCGCAGAGCCAUGCAUGUUUCUCACCCUCGUUUUUCUUCUCCGUGCUUCUCUGCAGAGAUCCGGUACGUUAAGUCGGAAGUGGAAUGUGAAAACAAUCGGCUUCGUUCUUCUCUAUUGCUUCCCAGUGCUCGUUCGUUCAGCUUGUGGUUAUUUUAAUCGGACCCAAGUAUAAGGAGCAUAAUCCGAAACUACCUUCUUAUUUCAUCUCUUCUUCAAAGACGAGCGAUGGUAUUAUUGCCUUUUGCAGUUAUCCUUUAUUGAGCACCAUCUUCCUUGGCAUUUUCGCUACCGUACUAACCGCUUACUUGUUCUGUCUCGGUGGGCGAAUUCUUCACCUGGUAAUAAAUAAGGGUUUGCAGAAGAGGGUGUACAGAUUGAUCUUUUGCGUUUCUUGUUUUUUACCGUUGAGGGUUCUUCUGCUUGGUUUGUCGGUCCUAACCGACCAACAAGGACUUGCAUUUGACAGCAUAUCAUUCUUGGCUUUUCUUUCCCUUUUGUGUUGCACCGGGGUGGGUAUUUGCAUGCUCGUGUACCUUCCUAUUGCAGAUUCUUUAUCUUUGAGGAAUCUGCAAAGAGAUGUAGAAGCUAGGAGGGUGACCGUUGAUGAGUACGAUAACGACACUGUUUCGUUAAUUUCUAAUCGGAGCGAUCUCGGGAGAAAUUUGUCUGGUUCGUUUGUGGAACUCAGCCUUUUUAAUCCUAGUCAGCAUUGAAAAGGCAAGGCAUUUUGUGGCGAAAAACAGAAGUGUUUGUAUAAUGAUUUGCUAAUUUUUGGUUUUGUUUUGUUUUGUUGAUUAUAUCCACCUUGUUUUUAUUGUGGUGGCUCACUCUUGAUCUGUAUCUCUGUAAUUGGUUGUUAUUGGAAGGAUUUUUAGGUAAUUUGUGAUUGUGAGAUUUGUAUAUUAAGUUUUGCUGGUAUU